rnacentral:rRNA from 1 species
UACGGGGGGGGCAAGCGUUGUUCGGAAUUACUGGGCGUAAAGGGUCUGUAGGUGGCUUGCUAAGUCAGACGUGAAAUCCCUCAGCUUAACUGGGGAACUGCGUCCGAUACUGGAAGGCUUGAAUCCGGGAGAGGGAUGCGGAAUUCCAGGUGUAGCGGUGAAAUGCGUAGAUAUCUGGAGGAACACCGGUGGCGAAGGCGGCAUCCUGGACCGGCAUUGACGCUGAUGAGCGAAAGCCAGGGGAGCAAACGGG